AGCAGUCGCCACGGUAAUACGUAGGUGGCAAGCGUUGUCCGGAAUUAUUGGGCGUAAAGGGCUCGCAGGCGGUUUCUUAAGUCUGAUGUGAAAGCCCCCGGCUCAACCGUGGAGGGUCAUUGGAAACUGUUAAACUUGAGUGCAGGAGAGAAAAGUGGAAUUCCUAGUGUAGCGGUGAAAUGCGUAGAGAUUAGGAGGAACACCAGUGGCGAAGGCGGCUUUUUGGCCUGUAACUGACACUGAGGCGCGAAAGCGUGGGGAGCAAACAGGAUUAGAUACCCGUGUAGUCCCUGUCUCUUAUAC
rnacentral:rRNA from 1 species